rnacentral:misc_RNA from 1 species
UAAUAAGUGUUUUAUGGCACUUUUUAAAUCCAUAUCCACCUCGUGUGCAAUGUCAGUCGAUCUUCUUCAUGGAGAUCGACCAAACAUCAACCUUUAUCUUUUAACUCUUUGUCUGAAAAAUAUUAUGAAUAAACAAUUCAAAUA